UAGCUACAGGCUUAACACAUGCAAGUCGAGGGGCAGCAUGGUCUUAGCUUGCUAAGGCCGAUGGCGACCGGCGCACGGGUGAGUAACACGUAUCCAACCUGCCGUCUACUCUUGGACAGCCUUCUGAAAGGAAGAUUAAUACAAGAUGGCAUCAUGAGUCCGCAUGUUCACAUGAUUAAAGGUAUUCCGGUAGACGAUGGGGAUGCGUUCCAUUAGAUAGUAGGCGGGGUAACGGCCCACCUAGUCUUCGAUGGAUAGGGGUUCUGAGAGGAAGGUCCCCCACAUUGGAACUGAGACACGGUCCAAACUCCUACGGGAGGCAGCAGUGAGGAAUAUUGGUCAAUGGGCGAGAGCCUGAACCAGCCAAGUAGCGUGAAGGAUGACUGCCCUAUGGGUUGUAAACUUCUUUUAUAAAGGAAUAAAGUCGGGUAUGGAUACCCGUUUGCAUGUACUUUAUGAAUAAGGAUCGGCUAACUCCGUGCCAGCAGCCGCGGUAAUACGGAGGAUCCGAGCGUUAUCCGGAUUUAUUGGGUUUAAAGGGAGCGUAGAUGGAUGUUUAAGUCAGUUGUGAAAGUUUGCGGCUCAACCGUAAAAUUGCAGUUGAUACUGGAUAUCUUGAGUGCAGUUGAGGCAGGCGGAAUUCGUGGUGUAGCGGUGAAAUGCUUAGAUAUCACGAAGAACUCCGAUUGCGAAGGCAGCCUGCUAAGCUGCAACUGACAUUGAGGCUCGAAAGUGUGGGUAUCAAACAGGAUUAGAUACCCUGGUAGUCCACACGGUAAACGAUGAAUACUCGCUGUUUGCGAUAUACAGCAAGCGGCCAAGCGAAAGCGUUAAGUAUUCCACCUGGGGAGUACGCCGGCAACGGUGAAACUCAAAGGAAUUGACGGGGGCCCGCACAAGCGGAGGAACAUGUGGUUUAAUUCGAUGAUACGCGAGGAACCUUACCCGGGCUUAAAUUGCAGAUGAAUUACGGUGAAAGCCGUAAGCCGCAAGGCAUCUGUGAAGGUGCUGCAUGGUUGUCGUCAGCUCGUGCCGUGAGGUGUCGGCUUAAGUGCCAUAACGAGCGCAACCCUUGUUGUCAGUUACUAACAGGUUCCGCUGAGGACUCUGACAAGACUGCCAUCGUAAGAUGUGAGGAAGGUGGGGAUGACGUCAAAUCAGCACGGCCCUUACGUCCGGGGCUACACACGUGUUACAAUGGGGGGUACAGAGGGCCGCUACCACGCGAGUGGAUGCCAAUCCCCAAAACCUCUCUCAGUUCGGACUGGAGUCUGCAACCCGACUCCACGAAGCUGGAUUCGCUAGUAAUCGCGCAUCAGCCACGGCGCGGUGAAUACGUUCCCGGGCCUUGUACACACCGCCCGUCAAGCCAUGGGAGCCGGGGGUACCUGAAGUGCGUAACCGCGAGGAGCGCCCUAGGGUAAAACUGGUGACUGGGGCUAAGUCAUAACA
rnacentral:rRNA from 1 species